rnacentral:rRNA from 1 species
AUUUAACGCUGGCGGCAUGCUUUACACAUGCAAGUCGAACGGCAGCGCGGGCUUCGGCCUGGCGGCGAGUGGCGAACGGGUGAGUAAUACAUCGGAACGUGCCCAGUAGUGGGGGAUAGCUCGGCGAAAGCCGGAUUAAUACCGCAUACGACCUGAGGGUGAAAGCGGGGGUUCUUCGGACCUCGCGCUAUUGGAGCGGCCGAUGGCAGAUUAGCUAGUUGGUGGGGUAAAGGCCUACCAAGGCGACGAUCUGUAGCUGGUCUGAGAGGACGACCAGCCACACUGGGACUGAGACACGGCCCAGACUCCUACGGGAGGCAGCAGUGGGGAAUUUUGGACAAUGGGCGAAAGCCUGAUCCAGCAAUGCCGCGUGUGUGAUGAAGGCCUUCGGGUUGUAAAGCACUUUUGGCGGGAACGAAAAGGACUGUGCCAAUACCACGGUUCGAUGACGGUACCCGCAGAAUAAGCACCGGCUAACUACGUG